AUUAUAAGUCAGGCACUAUUUUAAGAAAUUUACAAAUAUUGACUCAUGGGGUGAAGGACCUAUUUAAGGUCAAUUUCAAUGUUUUUUCUAUCUUGUUGAUAUAUGCUACAUGGAUGGAGAAGUCCCUAGGGAUAACGAUUAUUAUUACACCUAUGCUCCUGUUCAUGACCUGUUACUUGUAUCCUUGAGACUCUACAUGAUUGUUACAGGAAGAUGCAUUUGUCAGAAUGUUUGCUGUAGGAUAUUGCUUCAGCUCACUCCUGGGUAUCAACUGUGUUUGUCUCAGAACAUCAAAUUUGCUCACCAACUGUAUUGUAAUUCACCCACCCACAGUCCCCUCGCUGUUCUUGUUAUCAUUUCUUCUUUCUGGAUAUAAAUGCUUCUUGGGAAAAGUAGUUUCAGGUCUUUCUCCUCAAUCCCCUUUUAAGUUGCCAUCAAUUGGCAUUUGUCGAUUAUUUCUUGUAAAAACACAGCACUCCCUCUCGUUCUUCACUCUCCACACCACUGGAACACAGGAGAUGCACACAAAGGCACCUGCUCCCCUCUGAGCUGGUGCCACUAGGCCCUGAGCUUCCUUCUGUCGCCUCUGUCAGGGUCCUGAGCCUGUCUCCAUCCUCUCCCAUCACCAGGCUCGCUGUCUCCCAAGGCCCAGCCCCUGCCCCACCACACUCCCUCACCCUGGGCCAGGGCCAGGCCUCCUUCACUGCCUCUCCUGCUUAUUCCUGCCUGGAGUCAGUGCUCCUCUGACCCCGUGCCUUUUCUUCUCCCUUCUCUGUCUUGACCCUACUUGUCUUCUCUGUCACCUUGAUUUGCAGCCUGUGGACACGGACCAGUACCUCCCAGUGCACUCCGGCCCACAGCCACAAGUCCUAAGGGUGCCCGUGGCAGGGAGGACUUUGGAACAGACUUCUGUCAAGGAAGUGGAGUGGAAAAACUAAGAAGAAAAGGGAGAAAAAGAAACGAUAUAAAGUGAAAGAAGUCCUUGCUCAUAUUUUAGAAUUGGAUGAUGGUAACUGAAGUGCUAUGUAGCUUAGAUUCUGUGGAAUAAAUGUAAAAGCAUGAUGUGCCUUUUUUAUUUUAAAAUGACAACUUUUAGGAUACAACUAUUUAGAUACCUUGAGAUGAAAGAAAGGACAUGUAUUUUUAAAUGUUCAGGAGAGCACACGGAUUUUCAAGACAAAUGGGGCCAAGAAAGAAUACCACUGGAGACAGGCGUGCAGCCGGGGGUGCAUGUGAGCAGGGCCUGGUCUGCAGCGAUGGCCCCACCUCCGGGAGAUGGUGGCAAUGGCAGCUCAGGGUGGCACCUUGCCUGGAUCACCAACUCCUCAGAGUAAUAAGAAAGGCUACCUUUGUGGGUGGCCUACAGUCCUAAGAGCUCUCUAAGUCUGUCCAGUGACUCUCUGAGCCAAGUGGUAUGUUAAUUAUUUUAAAAUGAGAGCUGGGCUCUGUUUCUUCCCAAGUCACCAUCCAGUUAAGAUAUGACGAGUAUGUCUGUGGCAGCAGCCCAGCCUGCCUGACUGUGAAUGCCACCAGCCAGCAAGCACACGAGCCACCCACCAACUGUGAACAGCUAUCAUGGGCUGAAGUGUGUCCCCCCUAAAUUCAUAUCUUGAAGCCCUAAGCCCCAGUACCUCAGUAUGGAACUGUGUUUGGAGAUUGGGCCUUUACAGGGGUGAUUAAGGUAGAGUGAGGCUGUCAAAGUGAUAUCUGGGCACUCAGAGUGACACAGGAGUCCAUGCACAGAGGAAAGGCCCUGCGGGCACACAGAGUGAGAGCUGCUGCCUGCAAGCCAUGGGAGGAGACCUCAGGAGAAGCGGCCCCACUGGCCUUGAUCUUGGACCUUCAGCUUCCAAAGCUGCCAGCAAAUCCAUAUCUGUUUAAGCCCCCCAGCCCGUGGUACUUUGUGAAACCACACUGCUCUGGAUUGCAUCCUGAGGACAAGCCCUUGCGUCUGCCUCUCCAGGAUGUCUACAAAAUUGGUGGUAUUGGUACUGUCCCUGUGGGCCGAGUGGGGACUGGUGUUCUCAAACCCUGCAUGGUGGUCACUUUUGCUCCAGUCAAUGUUACAAUGAAAGUAAAAUCCGUUGAAAUGCACCACGAAGCUUUGAGCGAAGCUCUUCCAGGGGGCAAUGUGGGUUUCAACAUCAAGAAUGUGUCUGUCAAAGAUGUUCGUCGUGGCAAUGUUGCUGGUGACAGCAAAAAUGACCCACCAAUGGAAGCAACAGGCUUCACUGCUCAGGUGAUUAUCCUGAACCAUCCAGGCCAAAUCAGUGCUGGCUACGCUCCUGUACUGGACUGUCACAUUGCUCACAUUGCCUGCAAGUUUGCUGAAGGAAAAGAUUGAUCGCCGCUCUGGAAAGAAGCUGGAAGAUAGUCCUAAAUUCUUGAAGUCUGGUGAUGCUGCCAUCGUCAAUAUGGUUCCUGGCAAGUCCAUGUGUGUCGAGAGCUUCUCAGACUAUCCUCCUCUGGGUCGUUUUGCUGUUCGUGAUAUGAGACAGACAGUUGCUGUGGGUGUCACCAAAGCAGUGGACAAGAAGGCUGCUGGAGCUGGCAAGCUCACCAAAUCUUCCCAGAAAGCUCAGAAGGAUAAAUGAAUAUUAUCCCUAUACUUGCCACCCCACUCUUAAUCAGUGGUGGAAGAGCAGUCUCAGAACUGUUUAUUUCAAUUGGCCACUUAAAUUUAAUAGUAAAAGAUUUGUCGUUAAUAACAAUGCAUCGUAAAACCUUCCAAGGAAAGGAAAAUGUUUUGUGGACUACUUUUGUUUAUU